CCCCUUUUGUCACCCUCUCAGAAUUUUGCUGCCUCCGUUGUUGGGAGGAAAAUGUUAUGCAGCUCUGUGAUUGGUGGUCCAGUUAUGAAUUUACAGAGGACUGAUUAAUAGCAAUUCAAUGAAAGACUAAUUUCCAUUGACAGUACAAUUGACCAAUCAUAUCUUCCCUGUAAAUGGGUGGGCUUUGUUAUCGCAAACUUUAUGACAAUUUCCGCCCGCUGUGGGGACGCGAUCAUAAGCUAAUAAACUAGCUAGCUUUAACGUUAACUUAUUCGUUCACGUGACAAUGGAAGCGAGUAACGUUCCAGAUAGUGAGGAGGACAUUGUUUCACAUUUGUUAUAUGCGCCGUUUUUAAGGUUAACUUUUAAUGAGAAGUUGGAGUUAACCAAUUCAUCCAAAGGGACAGGAGAAUGGACUUCGUUUUCAAGUGAAGAUCAUCAAAGUACGCUCAGCUGUACGGUAUCCAGUUCCGAAGCACCGCGACUCACGAGAAACCUGUCCAUGCUAGGUAAGAGACAGAACUGGAAUGGAGGCAAUUAUCAUGUGCCUGGUUUUGGAAGAUCAAAGCUGAGGGUAUCACACCUGGACUACAGCAAACUAGGACAUCCCAAUCUCUACUCUCCUAAUGAGUGAACAAAUCAUUAAACAAUAGACAGGUACUGUACCUGCACAUGCUGGUACUUAAAACUUUAAAUUCAUUUUAGGGCCAUCAUGGCUAACAACAUGCUAUAAAGAUUUUGUUGACGUGGUCUUUGAGGUUAAACUGUGAG